rnacentral:rRNA from 1 species
GAGCUACCGCUAUUGGAGUUCGAUUAAGCCAUGCGAGUCGAGAGUCCUCGGGACUCGGCGUACCGCUCAGUAACACGUGGGUAACCUGCCCUAUGCUGGGGAAUAACCUCGGGAAACUGAGAAUAAUGCCCCAUAGCCCACUACGCCUGGAACGGUGAGUGGGUCAAAGCCCCGGCGGCAUAGGAUGGGCCUGCGCCGUAUCAGGUUGUAGGGGGUGUAAAGUACCCUCUAGCCAUCAACGCGUACGGGUGUUGGGAGACAUUGCCCGGAGAUGGAUUCUGAGACACGAAUCCAGACCCUACGGGGUGCAGCAGGCGCGAAAACUUGGCAAUGCGAGAAAUCGUGACCAGGGAACUCCAAGUGCGUAGGGUAAGACCUACGCUUUUCUUGACUCUUCAAAGGUCUUGGAAUAGGGGGUGGGUAAGGACGGUGCCAGCCGCCGCGGUAAUACCGGCGCCUCAAGUGGUAGUCGCUUUUAUUGGGCCUAAAACGUCCGUAGCCGGUCUGGUGCAUUCGUGGGUAAAUCAACCCGCUCAACGGGUUGAAUUCUGCGAGCACGGCCAGACUUGGGACCGGGAGAGGUGUGGGGUACUCUCAGGGUAGGGGUAAAAUCCUGUCAUCCUGAGAGGACCACCUGUUGCGAAGGCGCCACACUAGAACGGAUCCGACGGUCAGGGACGAAACCUAGGGCACGAACCGGAUUAGAUACCCGGGUAGUCCUAGGUGUAAACGCUGUGGACUUGAUGUUGGGGGCGCUCC